GAAUUGACGGGGGCCCGCACAAGCGGUGGAGCAUGUGGUUUAAUUCGAUGCAACGCGAAGAACCUUACCUGGUCUUGACAUCCACGGAAGUUUUCAGAGAUGAGAAUGUGCCUUCGGGAACCGUGAGACAGGUGCUGCAUGGCUGUCGUCAGCUCGUGUUGUGAAAUGUUGGGUUAAGUCCCGCAACGAGCGCAACCCUUAUCCUUUGUUGCCAGCGGUCCGGCCGGGAACUCAAAGGAGACUGCCAGUGAUAAACUGGAGGAAGGUGGGGAUGACGUCAAGUCAUCAUGGCCCUUACGACCAGGGCUACACACGUGCUACAAUGGCGCAUACAAAGAGAAGCGACCUCGCGAGAGCAAGCGGACCUCAUAAAGUGCGUCGUAGUCCGGAUUGGAGUCUGCAACUCGACUCCAUGAAGUCGGAAUCGCUAGUAAUCGUGGAUCAGAAUGCCACGGUGAAUACGUUCCCGGGCCUUGUACACACCGCCCGUCACACCAUGGGAGUGGGUUGCAAAAGAAGUAGGUAGCUUAACCUUCGGGA
rnacentral:rRNA from 1 species